UACGUAGGGUGCAAGCGUUGUCCGGAAUUAUUGGGCGUAAAGAGCUCGUAGGCGGUUUGUUGCGUCGGCUGUGAAAUCCCGAGGCUCAACCUCGGGUCUGCAGUCGAUACGAGCAAACUAGAGUGUUGCAGGGGAGACUGGAAUUCCUGGUGUAGCGGUGAAAUGCGCAGAUAUCAGGAGGAACACCGAUGGCGAAGGCAGGUCUCUGGGCCACUACUGACGCUGAGACACGAAAGCCAGGGGAGCGAACGGG
rnacentral:rRNA from 1 species